rnacentral:rRNA from 1 species
GACAGAGGCCUCAAGCGUUAGGCGGAAUCACUGGGCUUAAAGCGUGUGUAGGCGGAUCGUUAAGUGUCUUGUGAAAUCCCACGGCUCACCCGUGGAACUGCUGGGCAUACUGGCGAUCUUGGGCCAACUAGGGCAACUGGAACAAGCGGUGGAGCGGUGAAAUGCGUAGAUAUCGCUUGGAACGCCGAAGGUGAAAACAGGUUGCUGGGGUUGUGCCGACGCGUGAGACACGAAAGCCAGGGGAGCAAACGGG